UAGCCCCGGUGGCCGAAUGGGUAAUGCGGCCACCUGGUAGCGCCUUGGCGUGGGGACCCAAGGCGCGUGGGUUCGAAACCCGCAGGGGACAACAUUACAUCCAGAGCCAACUUCUCAGCUCCUAAAAUAAAGGGAUGUGAACUUGCCAAGUAGGUACCUUCGGGCGGACCUACUACCUGAUUUAGCUUAUUGUUUCUGGGCUGGAAACCUGUAUCGCAUGUACCAAAUCCUGUCUCUCAUUAAUUUUCCUAUGUUCCUGUUAUGUCUUGGCGUCGUUCAACACUAAGCAUUCCUCCUGUAUAACCAACUCUUGUCUGUAUUUAACAUCACACAAGGACUCGUCAUAAGCACUGCUUGCAUAUGAGUAUAAGGAAGAAUAAUAAUAAUAAUAAUCUGUACUGAUAUAAGAAACUCAGUUUAUUAAUUCUGACUCAGAGAUAAAAGAUACUGCAG
rnacentral:sRNA from 1 species